rnacentral:rRNA from 1 species
UGCCAGCAGCCGCGGUAAUACGGGGGGUCCUAGCGUUGUUCGGAAUCACUGGGCGUAAAGCGCAUGUAGGUGGAUUGCUAAGUCAGAUGUGAAAGCCCGGGGCCUAACCUCGGAAGUGCAUCUGAUACUGGCAGUCUUGAGUACUAGAGAGGAUUGUGGAAUUCCUGGUGUAGUGGUGAAAUACGUAGAUAUCAGGAGGAACAUCGGAGGCGAAGGCGGCAAUCUGGCUAGAUACUGACACUGAGGUGCGAAAGCGUGGGUAGCAAACAGGAUUAGAUA